UUUUAUCAGAGUCCCAUACCUCAUGGGUAUUUUCUCAAUCAGUGGACACCCCAAGCCCUAGCCCAUGUGUUUUGAGUAAAAAGGACUCCUUUCAACGAGGAUCCCCUUCUAGAGGCUUUGACUAAGCAGUCUCUUGGCACCCUUAGAAUGAAGUUGAGAGCGUCACAGGGAUGCUUAACGAGGCCGAGGGGAAGGCCAUUAAGCUGGCCAAGGAUGUGGCGUCCCUCAGUUCCCAGCUCCAGGACACCCAGGAGCUCCUUCAAGAAGAAACCCGGCAGAAGCUCAACGUGUCUACAAAGCUGCGCCAGCUGGAGGAGGAGCGGAACAGCCUGCAAGACCAGCUGGACGAGGAGAUGGAGGCCAAGCAGAACCUGGAGCGCCAUAUCUCCACUCUCAACAUCCAGCUCUCUGACUCGAAGAAGAAGCUGCAGGACUUUGCCAGCACCGUGGAAGCUCUGGAAGAGGGGAAGAAGAGGUUCCAGAAGGAGAUUGAGAACCUCACCCAGCAGUACGAGGAGAAGGCGGCCGCUUAUGAUAAACUGGAAAAGACCAAGAACAGGCUUCAGCAAGAGCUGGACGACCUGGUCGUCGAUUUGGACAACCAGCGGCAACUCGUGUCCAACCUGGAAAAGAAGCAGAGGAAGUUUGAUCAGUUGUUAGCCGAGGAGAAAAACAUCUCUUCCAAAUACGCGGAUGAGAGGGACAGAGCCGAGGCAGAAGCCAGGGAGAAGGAAACCAAGGCCCUGUCCCUGGCUCGGGCCCUGGAAGAGGCCUUGGAAGCCAAAGAGGAACUCGAGCGGACCAACAAAAUGCUCAAAGCCGAAAUGGAAGACCUGGUCAGCUCCAAGGAUGACGUGGGCAAGAACGUCCAUGAGCUGGAGAAGUCCAAGCGGGCCCUGGAGACCCAGAUGGAGGAGAUGAAGACGCAGCUGGAGGAGCUGGAGGACGAGCUGCAGGCCACGGAGGAUGCCAAACUGCGGCUGGAAGUCAAUAUGCAGGCGCUCAAGGGCCAGUUCGAGAGGGAUCUCCAAGCCCGGGACGAGCAGAGUGAGGAGAAGAGAAGGCAACUGCAGAGACAGCUUCACGAGUAUGAGACGGAACUGGAAGACGAGCGAAAGCAACGUGCCCUGGCAGCUGCAGCCAAGAAGAAGCUGGAAGGGGACCUGAAAGACCUGGAGCUUCAGGCCGACUCUGCCAUCAAGGGGAGGGAGGAAGCCAUCAAGCAGCUACGCAAACUGCAGGCUCAGAUGAAGGACUUUCAAAGAGAGCUGGAAGACGCCCGUGCCUCCAGAGAUGAGAUCUUUGCCACAGCCAAAGAGAAUGAGAAGAAAGCCAAGAGCUUGGAAGCGGACCUCAUGCAGCUACAAGAGGACCUCGCCGCAGCUGAGAGGGCUCGCAAACAGGCGGACCUCGAGAAGGAGGAACUGGCAGAGGAGCUGGCCAGUAGCCUGUCAGGAAGGAACGCACUCCAGGACGAGAAGCGCCGCCUGGAGGCCCGGAUCGCCCAGCUGGAGGAGGAGCUGGAGGACGAGCAGGGCAACAUGGAGGCCAUGAGCGACCGGGUCCGCAAAGCCACACAGCAGGCCGAGCAGCUCAGCAACGAGCUGGCCACAGAGCGCAGCACGGCCCAGAAGAAUGAGAGUGCCCGGCAGCAGCUCGAGCGGCAGAACAAGGAGCUCCGGAGCAAGCUCCAGGAGAUGGAGGGGGCCGUCAAGUCCAAGUUCAAGUCCACCAUUGCGGCGCUGGAGGCCAAGAUUGCACAGCUGGAGGAGCAGGUUGAGCAGGAGGCCAGAGAGAAACAGGCGGCCACCAAGUCGCUGAAGCAGAAAGACAAGAAGCUGAAGGAAAUCUUGCUGCAGGUGGAGGAUGAGCGCAAGAUGGCCGAGCAGUACAAGGAGCAGGCAGAGAAAGGUAAUGCCAGGGUCAAGCAGCUCAAGAGGCAGCUGGAGGAGGCAGAGGAGGAGUCCCAGCGCAUCAACGCCAACCGCAGGAAGCUGCAGCGGGAGCUGGAUGAGGCCACGGAGAGCAAUGAGGCCAUGGGCCGCGAGGUGAACGCACUCAAGAGCAAGCUCAGGUGAGGAGCCCGUGGCCCGGGAGCACCCCGUCUCUCAGGCCAGAGAAAAGCGCUGGGGGCUCGGGCUCCCUUCGGCCUGCAAAUGCCCCCUGUGCCCACAGCUGCCACUCCCUUCUGUGGUUUAUUUCUGCUCCUCCUUAAUCACUAAGCUUAGCGUGGGCCAGGCACUGAGGCUGGCCCAGAUCAGACCGGGUGCCUGCCUGGUAACAGAGCUUACCUUCUAGAUCCUUUAAUGAUCGACCAUCUCCCAUCCCGUCCUCCAGGUGAGGAGGAGGAAGAGGCUAUCCCCACUGUCUCCUCCAGCCCCUCCUUCAUUGUAUCACUGAGUCUUCACGGCAUCCACUGAAGCUGCAACACCGCCCCCCACCACUUCACCUCCUUGCUGACAUGCUCUGCUCCUCCUUUCUCCCCCUCAGCACUGCUGCCAUCUGGGCUGCAUUAUUCUCGGGUAUGGGGACUAUCCAGCAUUCCCCAUCAGCGGGAAAAAGAUCCCUGAAAAGUAGCAGGUGCUUACAUUCCUGGCCUCUACCCACCGGCUGCAGUAGCCCCCCACCACCCUGCAAUGUGACAACCAAAAAUGUCUCUAGAUGUUGCCAGAAGUCCUCUAGAGAUGGGAAGGUACAACUGCCCCCCCCCCCGAGAAUUCCUGCUGUCACUGGAAUAGGGGCUGUUUUCUCUCCCAUGCCUCUCGUACCUUGGGGUGUCCCCUCUGCUCCCAGGGGCUGCUUCCACCACCCUGUCCAUCCAUCCCAAUUGGCUCCCUGAAGGUUUUAGCUCCGGGCUUCCUGUCUCCCACACCACUCCUCACAGUUCUCCAUGAUUUCAACAUCCAGGUGGGCAUCACAGCCUCUCAGUUCCUUGACCUUCUGGGUGAUCCUGCUGCUUCUACUGAGCUAACCAGUGCUCCUAGGAGCCCUCACAAUUUGACCCUCAGGCAUCUCAUUGUCUGCCUGGCGCCACCUUUCUUUGGCUCUGUCCCCAACGGGGUCUUCACUCCAUCAACGCCAUGAGCCUCUGACCCAGCUCCAAACCAGCGGUCUAGUAACCUCCAUCGCGCAUCCUCAACAUCCAGUUCCCCCUCUUGCAUUGCUGCAAUCAUUUGGUGAAAGCACAACCAAAAUGAAACUCAAGCUAGGCCGGGCACGGGACCCACCUAUAAUCCCAGCACUUUGGGAGGCCAAGGCACGUGAAUCGCUUUGAGCUCAGGAGUUCAAGAGCAGCAAGACCCCAUCUCUACAAAAAACAAACAAACAAAAAUCAGCCAGGUGGGAUGGUGCACACCUAAAAUCCCAGCUACUCAGGAGGCUGAGGUGGGAGAUCAGUGGAGCCCCAGAGGUCAAGGCUGCCGUGAGCCAUGAUCUAGCCAAUGCACUUACCCUGGAUGGACAGAGUGAGACCCUGUCUCAAAAAACCCAAAACCCACUCUCCACCUUUUCCCACAGAGCAGGCCUUGCUCAGGGGUCCUCCCACACCCCUCCCUCAUCUUCUCACUCUCUGCUGCUUUUCACUUUUUCUUUGAACUUAUGAUCACUCCUCCCCAUUCUCUCUCUCAGCUGGGGACUACUUCCUACUUAACUCAAAAGCAGAAAUGAUCAUGAAACGUGUACAAGCUCCCACUACCUCAUCACCCUACCUCCGUGCACCUCUAUACACUUCUAUUUUUUUUCCAUUUCUGUGCUGAACCCUGUGGCACCAAACGAGGCCAACACUUCCAUUGGACCCAACCCUCUUGUUCACUCAAGCGCAUGGCUCCAAAAAUCCUUACUUUGCAAGGUUUUCUCUUUCAUUUGCUCCAUCAGCAAAUGGAAUAACCUCUUAGCCCCACGUCUACCUGGCUACCCUUACACUACAAAACUGGAUGUGAAUGCCGAAACCCUGUCUCUACCAAAAAAUAUAAAAAUUAGCCAGGUGUGGUGGUGCAUGCCUGUAGUCCCAGCUACUCAGGAGGCUGAGGCACAAGAAUGGCUUAAAACCAGGAGACAGAGGUUGCAGUCCAGCCUGGGUGACAGAGUGAGACUUGGUCUC
rnacentral:sRNA from 1 species